UCCGACCACACACUCAUUUCUACCAGCUAUUCUCAUUUCGGGCACCGUUUAAUAGCCAGCCAAUUUUGUUUAACCUGGCAACCCAGCCGCUAGAGAAAGACCCAUCCCUUGAAUUUUUGAAUAUCCAUUCUGAUUCGCGAAGCCAGUCGGAAGCCUAUCAAAGCAGGAAAUAGACAAGAUGUAGCACUGCAUUAAGGAGAGGGCUAGAAUGCCAGAAAGCUCACCCGUUGAGAAGACCUAUCUGCAGACGCCCCGUUUGAGUCUGAGACUGGGAAUAAGGUGUGGCUGCCACGGCCAUUUCCGGUAAGUUCCACAUCAAUGUCGCCGCACUCAUCACUGUGCAUACCGCGUUCCGGAUAAUUGUUGCGCCAGUUCUUCCCAAUUCUACUCGGUCUGCAACAGCGUUAGAAGAACCCUUAGUAGCGCUUGAUCUGGAGUCAUUUCUGCAAAUUGGGUGGCUGAUUCUAGGUGAAGUAGUGGCAGGUUUGGCAAAGACUUGAAAGAGGUGACUCUGGGGACGACAAGAGCAGCAGAGCGGAAUCAUCGUGAAUGAAAGGAUUGUCUGUUUCGCCUAGAAAUCACAAUCGCGCAACGAACACGAUGGAGAUAUUGAAGUGCCGCAAGCGUUGCCCCUGCGAACGACGAACUAGAGAUUUUCGGACUCUUUUGGUUAUCCUCUGCGUUGCUGGCUGCCACCAAAUGGCAACUCGCAAAAGGAUUCGUACCCAACCUUCAUCUGGGCUCCGUCCUGCCAACCAUUCCGUUAUCAAUCUGAUUACAGAAACAUACUGGCGAGUAUUGUGUUUGAAGUGCAUUUUGUUGCUCUACGCGAGAUUUCUUCCUCACAGGAGAUCUCCAUCCU
rnacentral:lncRNA from 1 species